rnacentral:rRNA from 1 species
UACGUAGGGUGCAAGCGUUGUCCGGAAUUAUUGGGCGUAAAGAGCUCGUAGGCGGUCUGUCGCGUCGAAUGUGAAAACCCGGGGCUCAACCCCGGGCCUGCAUUCGAUACGGGCAGACUAGAGUUCGGUAGGGGAGUCUGGAAUUCCUGGUGUAGCGGUGAAAUGCGCAGAUAUCAGGAGGAACACCGAUGGCGAAGGCAGGUCUCUGGGCCACUACUGACGCUGAGGUUCGAAAGCUCGGGGAGCAAACAGG